GCCAGUAUGGCAUAGUGGUUUGAGUGUUGAACUACGACUGUGGAGACCAGGGUUCAAAUCCCCAUUGUGACC
rnacentral:tRNA from 1 species